UACGUAGGGGGCAAGCGUUGUCUGGAUUUACUGGGCGUAAAGCGCGCGCAGGCGGGCUGGUCAGUCUGGGGUGAAAUCUCACGGCUCAACCGUGAGAGGUCCCUGGAUACUGCUAGGCUUGAGGGGCGCAGAGGAGAGUGGAAUUCCGGGUGUAGUGGUGGAAUGCGUAGAUAUCAAGUGGAACACCAGUGGCGAAGGCGAGUCUCUGGACAUUUACUGACGCUGAGGCACGAAAGCCAGGGGAGCAAACGGG
rnacentral:rRNA from 1 species